GACCUCGGAUCAGGUAGGAAUACCCGGUGAGGGGAAGCAUAUCAAAAGCCGGGAGGAA
rnacentral:rRNA from 1 species